rnacentral:lncRNA from 1 species
ACUAUUGGGUAGAGGUCUCUGUGCUCGAUAGCAGAAGCUGGUGACCCCUUGGGGACGUCGCCUGUGACAGGCACCAGGCUGUCCACAAGGACAGGCACACACUGCUUUGUACCUAGUAUGUCUUCCAUGUUAUUCUUCUAAUGUAGAUUCAGUAGAUAGUUUCUGGCAAGCAUUUGAAGAACUUACCCAAGGUCACGUUUUCUUAUUUUUACUCCCUCCCCUUCGUAUGUCAAGAGGGGGCUUACUUUUUCCUCUCCUCCCCCCAACUUAAAAAGGCGUAAUUGAGAUGUCUCUUCAAGUUUGGUCCUCUUUCCCAUGUGAGAAAGUCAAUGAUUAAUAACUGGGUUGCUGGACUUUUAGACACCAUGUUGUCUCAUCAUAAUUUUUCCCCAGGUCAGCAGGUAUUUACCAAAGCUCUGCUCUGCACUAAUAGAGAAAGGCUGGAGAACAUAUAAAAACAAAUUUCAUAAAAUGGGUCAGCUCUUCUGAUGCUUAUAACUUGGGCUGGAAGACGAGCUUCCAAAAACACAAACCACCCUGCUCUAGUUAGAGGCGGUUGUUCUGUAUGAUCCCGAGACGCCUUCCCCCGAUCAGGUCCCACGUCCUGCGGAGGGUCAGGGAAGGGCAGACGUGUGUGCGCUGAGACGUCUGGGGAGGCUUGAUUGAGAAGGCCAGUCUUGAGGACAAGAAAAAGGAUACUCCUUGCAGUUGAAUGCUACAAUUUCUGCUGCAUUUAUUAUCCACUUAGCCAUCCCUGGAGACAACACUGACAAGAGCCCUGCCUUAGGGAUCUUUCGGUUCGGGUUAGGGAACAGGUAAUGUCAGUCCAUAAGCUUUCCACGAUUUGGAAUAUGCCGAAGAGAAACACACAAGGCUUGAGGAUGUCACAUCUAGCCAGGGCUGCCCAGGCAUUGCUUCCUGGAGGAGGUGUUUUCCACAUGAAGAGCUGAAAGCUGGGUUUUCCAGAGCAGAGAAGGAAGUAUAGAAGGAUGUGGAAUCUAUCCCAGGACAGGAGCAGGUGCCGACUCGAGGCACUCAAGAAAUGUUCCUGACAGCCAGAAAUUGGUGUAUGAAGUGCAAAGCCAUCAGAGUUUCAAGAGGUGAUGCUCCGCUGGGAGCCUCAGCAGAGUCUCUGAAAGGACGUGCAAGACCCAGAUUGCUGCGUCCACCGCAGAGUCUGAUUCAAUGGGGCUGGCUCAGGGCCCGAGCAUUUGCAAUGUCCAGCAAGCUCCCAGCUGCUCCUGAAGCAGCCGGCCUGGGAAGCGUGCUUUGAGAACCAGUCUCAGGGAAUGAGGGUUGCCAAUACCUAAGGAACUCACAGACCUGAGCUCUGCGAAGGGUCUGCUAUUACUCCCAUUUUACAGGUGAGGGAAACAAUCAGUGAGACCGAACCCUUUACCCCAGAUCCCAAAGGUGGAAGAUGCUGGAGUUGAUAAUUCCCAUGUUCUUUGCCCUCGAGCGCCUCUGUUUCUCAGGCCAGCUGUCACUUAUGGAAGAGGGCGUGGCCGUAUAUGAAGACGCUUGCCUUGUGGUUGUUUACUCACUGACAUUUUAGAAGGACUUGAAGGGGAGACAGAGAGAGGAGGCAGUGAGCAGUAGUCACCCCACUUCUGCCCCAUCCCCUCUGCCCUGCACUGGGUCGAAAUGAGGGUAGCAUGCUCCCCUGGUCAGGCAAAGAAACGGAUCCCCCAGCCUGUACACACUGUUUCAGAUGCAAAGGAUCACUACAAUAAAUGCCAGAAGGAUCGAUAACGUUGUACAAGAUGAUUAUCAGCUAUGGAAUCUCUGUGAAAGGUUUCACAAACAGUCUGAGUUUCCCGAAGGAAAGGUCAAGUCACCACGUUGUGAUACGCACUCACUAAUUGUGCAUCUAGAGACACACACCCACUCUGUGCAGAGGUAAGUGUGUAGACCAGGUGACGAUGUAUUUCCAGAUGCCAGUGAAGCUAAGAUUCAACUUGCAUGAGUUUGUGUCGAGAGAGACCCAUGAUCCUAGUUGAUCUUGGGGGACAAUAUGCACCCACUGAGAAGCAUACCAGAGAGUUAGUAAGAAGUGCCUGGUUUUAUUUCAUACCCACCGUAAACCCACGAGGGAGGUGCCACAUUAUCUCAUGUGUUGUGAGGAUUAGAUCAGAUCACAGAUGAGAAGCCCAGGGCCCGGCACAUACUGUACUUUCCAUAAAUAAUAGCUGGGGAUGUAAUUAUGACUCGUGGGCCCUCGACCUCCCGCUUCUCUCCCUGCCACUUAGGGGCCACGUCGACUUGGCACUUCUCUUUCUUUCUCUGUGUUUCAGGCCCUUCAUCUGCAACGUGGAAAGAAAAGACGGCGAGGCUAGUUCGGAGCUUUCAAAGCCUUUCCGGUUUUGGCUAAAGAGUCUUGGGUUCAAACAACAUUAUCUGCGGCAAUGGUUAACGGGAGUUUUUCUGUCUGUUUUGCAUCAGCUCUUGGACUUUCUUAUAGUCUCGGACUGUUUGACCUCAAGCCCUCAGAGUCUUAGUUUCCUUUUCUGAAAAAGGGAACUAUUUAUGGAAUGGACCUCAUGGAGGUGUGGCCAUGAAGUGAAACGGUGCCUGCGGAGGGUUUUAGGUCACUGGAGGUGCCCAGUCUGCCUUGAUUUUAUCCUCCACCUCCAGUCUUGCCUGUUUGGGAAGAUUUAGCUCUCGGCCUCUGCUGUGGCCCCAGAUUCUUCUCAAAGGGAACGGGUCCUUGAAGUCAACUCGGAACCACUGGAUGUGUGCUCUCUCAUAGCUCUUUCUGUCUCCAGUGGUACAAGGGUCAUGAUUGGUAAUCAGGCCCCAAGUACUCAGAGCUCUUGUCCGAUGUAACGUUAGGUUCCAAGAAGCCAACAGAUCAAUGAGGUUCUCGAUAGGCCCAAUGCAUUCUCACCCAAACUCUCUCCUACUCGUGUGCGUAUUAGCCCUCGCAAAAUGGGGGUGCUUUCAGGGGAGUGGGCUGGGGCAGGGGAGACAGAAGUUCCCAGCGUUCUUUGUACCAGCAUUUUGAGAACCUGGAGGCAGAGGCAUGUCUUUUUCCUGCCCCUGAAGCUCAAUGUAUUGAGCUGAGUCAAAUUACUGUACAUCCUGGCAGAGCUGUCACUGCCAUUGAUCAGUCCUGAAACUCCCCUCCACCUUGCAUCACCGUUUGAAGAAAGAGCGUGUUCUCAGAAAUACAUGUGAUCUGGGAAUGACCCCUGGGCUGCAUCCGGCCCACUUGGAGAUAGAGGCAUUCUGGGAGAUUGGCAAUCGAUGGGCAGGAGACACACCUGAGCGCCGGGGGUGACAACUACCCUGGCUGUUCUCAAUCAGUGCACGCUGGGCCAAGGGAGCCAGACGUGGGCAUCAGUAUGCCAGAGGGUUUUCAAUACUGUGUGCAUGGAAGCAAGGGGCAAGGCCCAGCAUGGUCAUCCUCCUCUGAUUCUAAAAUUGAGAAUAGUAACUUCUCAGCACUAGUUUGGAUUUUGCAAACAUUGUGCAGGCUUAGACCUUUGUUUGAUGUGUGCUGACUGUUGCUUCUUCAUGACGUUUAAUGAUGGGUGUGGGGUAUGUGCAGAGCACACGUGUGUGUGUGUGUGUGUGUGUGUCUUUGUGUAUAUGUAUUUGUGUAUGUUGAAAUUAGCUGAGAAUUUCUUUUAAAAAAUAGUCUUAUUACUUUUAAAAUUACUGGUUUUAAAAAAUAAGAAUGGAGGAGUUCCUGUCAUGGCGCAGUGGUUAACGAAUCCGACUAGGAACCAUGAGGUUGCGGGUUCGGUCCCUGCCCUUGCUCAGUGGGUUAACGAUCCGGUGUUGCCGUGAGCUGUGGUGUAGGUUGCAGAUGCACCUAGGAUCCCGAGUUGCUGUUGCCCUGGCAUAGGCUGGUGGUUACAGCUCCAAUUUGACCCCUAGCCUGGGAACCUCCAUAUGCCACAGGAGCGGCCCAAGAAAUGGCAAAAAGACAAAAAACAAACAAACAAAAAAAAUAAGAAUGGAGCCUUUUUCAUGGUAGAAGUUCAGGAUUUUUCCUGAAAUUGAGUUAGGGUUUUAUAAUUUUUAUGGUAAAAGAAGUGCAAACUAAUUGCAAUUUUUUUUAAACAUCCAGAGACGUGCCAUUUGUUUCCUAGAGGAAAUUUCUCUUAGAAAUCUCUUUAAUGUAUAUCUAUCCAUACAUUUUCUGUGUACACACCAAUGUAAACAUUUACAGUUGCUCACUAACAUACAUUAAAAUGAAGGGACUCAUCUAUGCCGUUUCUCACUUUGUUUGCUCACUUAACAAUAUUUGAGCUGAAGUUGGAUGUUGGAUGGAAUUCCUAUCAGAUUUCAAGGGAAGAGAGGCAGUGUCACCAUGAGCUUUCAGUAAUGUUGGGUCAUUACCGAAUGUUGAUGCUGUGGUACAGCAGGAGGAAAUUAAAACCCAAACUUUAAAGCGGAAGAGGAGAGACAGGAUGGAGAAGAGGCAGCCCCGGGCCUGAGUGGGGUAAGCCCAAGAUGGAGUGCAUGGUCAAGUGUGAGCCCAGCAGCCUCUGGUGGAGGUCGACAAAAAGGACAGCAGUGUGGCGGCCAUCCUCCAGAGGUGGACCCCAGUGCCCCACACCUCCGGGCUCUCACAUGCUCCUGGGGGCCCUUUCACACUGCACCGGACAGGCUUGCGCUUUUAUUAGACUGCAGCAAUCAAAUGCAGUGUUGGCUCCAGGCGCAGUGUUUAAGGAGAUGGGAAGCUCCUGCCUCUUACUUCUUGGAAGGUUCAUUCUUGGGAGCCCUGAGCUAUUUGUAGGAAGUCCAGCUGCUCGGCUGGAGAGACCACAUGAGGAAAGACCCCUCAGUGAGCCCAUGCAGAAGGGAAUAGCCUGGGGGCAUCGUGGGAAUGGAGGGAGGCGUGGCGGGUCCCUGUCUGCAGAUGAAUCCAGCCCCAGCCACCGUUUGGCUGCAACUGCUAGAGAAAGCCUUCACAAGAGCAGCCUAGCUGGGCCUCAUCAGUGCAAAAAUUGAGAAAUAAUAAAGUGCUGUGCUUUGAAGGCACUGUAUUUCGGGGUAGUUUGUUACACAGCAAUAGGAAACUAAUGCAUGGGUAAUGGCUUGAGUAUGUGUCCGUCCCAAACCCUGGUGCAAUCUCGGGAAAUAAGGAAAUUGAUGAGGAAGGCCCCCUCCGAUCUCAAGCCCUUAAACAUUUCCCAGGUCUCGAGCUUAUGUGAUAAGCAGCUUAUAUGUUCACCUCCAUCUGGCCUUGGAAUUCCUUUGAGAGAACUGGAAAAGUAAAACCCCAAUUUUAUUCCUGGUAUUACUCUCAUAAAGCCUUGGCAGUGUCCACUCUAAAAGGGGCCUACAAAUUUCUCAAAUGGUUUCAACAUGGAAUUGCCAUCGGACCCAGCAAUUCUACUCCUACGUCUGUGCCCAUGAGAACUGAAAAAAUUUGUCCCCAGAAAAGCUCAUGCAUGAAUCUUCAUGGCAGAGCAGGAUUCGUGAUAACUAAAAGAAAGAAGCAAUCUAAAUAUCCAUCAGCAGAUGAAUAAACAAAACAAAGCAAAAUAAAAGGAGCUCCCUCUUCCUAAAUGGUGGUAAGUGCUCCGUGGGGACAAGUGUGCAAACCUCAGUCCAAGGGUGGUAAC